rnacentral:miRNA from 1 species
UCUGCAGAUCCUGGUCCUAAUA